UAGCAAAGGCUUUGAUGGGAGGGUGAGAGAGCGAGCGAGUCGAGUCGGUGAGCGAGCGACCGAGAGCUUGGGGAUCGAGUGGCGGUGGCCGCGGAGAGGCAGCGUGCGCAGCGGCCGCGGAGAUGGGGCGUGCGUCGCGGAGGCGGAGAGGGAGAGCGCAGCAGCGGCGGAAAGGUACAACGGUAUGUGGCAGCGGAGAGGGAGAAGUUCUAAAGUAAAAAUGAGGCCGCCGACCUAGACUUCGCGCCGACGAGGUGGAAGGAGUCCCACCGCCCCUAGAGGCCGAGCGACGCGUCCCCUUCCCGGGCUGGCGGCCGCCGGCGACGCCCGUCUUACCCUUGACGCAGCCGCUGCAGCAGCCGCAGGGUCCCUGUCCCGUGCCGCCGUGCGUGACGGCAACGGCGGCAGGCGGUCGCGCGGCGACCGGCUGUCCUCGUCGGUGUCGGUGCUCCGGUGCUGCUCGUCCUGACGGCCGCUGCCCAACCACGUCAGGGCGCUCCUGGCGCGGCACACCCUACGGCUCUGCUGCAACGGCCUCUUCCUCAGAGGCUGAUGGAGUGCGGGUGGCGACCGGACGUGUAGUCCAGCGGCUCGGGCAUGCGGCCACACUCGUCGGACCCAACGGCCCACGAGCGGCAGGCCGUCGUGUGGUGCCACGCUGUGCCCCACCACCUCCGGCUCCGAGUGGGUCCAGCUCUGGUAUACCACCGUCAUCCUCCCCUGACUCGUGGCACACCACACUCGCGGCUAACUUUUAGUGGUCGCUCAGGAUGAAGUUGAUGCUACGUUAAACAGGUUGUUUCCGUUAUUGGACCUUCUACUAACCGGAGGUUUGGGAAAACUGCCUCCGCGUGUGCCGCGGUCUGACUUUCGCUUACUGGAGGACUUGUAAGGACUCCGUCUAACAUGAGGCUACAAAUAAUUCCUCGUCCCUAUAAAGUUCGCGAAGCUCUGCCUGCCGUGAGAACUAACCAGCAAGGGGUCACUAAUGUAGUUAACACGAGAUGACUUACUGAUGGUCGCGGAUCAGGGAGCUUUAAUACCACCAUCACUCAUGUAGUCUACCUCACUCAUGGUACUCAUGAACUUAUCGAUACUCUAACUUGUCCUUAUGCAGCUCAUGUCACUCCUUAAUCGGUUCGUUGACUUCACCUACCUUCUAAUAUAUGUAAAACUGGCCGGUAGAAAAUUCAUACUGAAGUAGAGAAGGGCUCCUCGAAUGGUCCGUUAUUUCUAACGACGAUGACCGAAAGCGCCUUAGUGAGGCCGAAAUCGAAUGUUACCGAUGAUACUUACAUAUCUCUCGUACCCGAUACUGGAACGAACCGAAUUCCUCAAUCUACCACAGAUAAAACUCUAAACCGCCGCCCAGUGAGUCCCUUACUCAAAGUUUCUACGAGACCGUCUCCAAACAGUAGAGUUGUCCAAAGGCAAUGUAGUUGUAUCUUACCUUGCACGGGACCUCAAACUACUUCGCUACCUCCUCUACCUUCUUCUCAAGGCAUAGACGUGCCGUCGGUAAUGGGGUCUUCAAUUUCUCCUAUUUCGAGCCCUCAACUAACGUCCCCGCCAAUUUCUCGACGAACUACUAUGCGGCUUCAGGAUACUCGUCAUAUAGUAUUUCUUCUACGUGUAACGGGCUCAACAACCUUAGGAAGGACUGUUCUCCUAACUUCUAAGAGUUCUUACUCUAUUGGCAGUUUGUUCACAAACAAUUUUUCGACGAACUAUUCGGCUUCAGGAUACUCGUCAUAUAGUCUUUUCUUCUAUGUGUAACGGGCUCGACAACCUUAGGAAGGAGGUGUACUAACUUCGUUGUCACAAUUCUAACACUUCUUACUCUAUUACCAGUUUGUUCACAACUAACAACAGUCUAAUACUUUAACCUGGUAGUUACCACUGGGGAUGAAGGUUCAAAAGUUCACCAGCAGAUGAGGUUAUCGAAUCGUACUUUAAAUAUCUAAAAAAACCACUUAGGUUCAAAGUGUGACUCACAUCCUGUUGUCAUAAUAGUUCCCCACAUGUUCGUUUUGUUGAAACCAAACUUGAGAUUUUGUUCUAGUAUUUGGUUUAACAAGUCUUGUGUUAAAGUGGGUUUCUCUUAAAUUGAGAUCUCUAAAUUUAACCAAA
rnacentral:rRNA from 1 species